rnacentral:rRNA from 1 species
UACGGAGGGUGCAAGCGUUAUCCGGAUUCACUGGGUUUAAAGGGUGCGUAGGUGGAAUGGUAAGUCCGUGGUGAAAUCCCCGAGCUUAACUCGGGAACUGCCGUGGAUACUAUCAAUCUUGAAUACUGUGGAGGUAAGCGGAAUAUGUCAUGUAGCGGUGAAAUGCUUAGAUAUGACAUAGAACACCGAUAGCGAAGGCAGCUUGCUACACAGUCAUUGACACUGAGGCACGAAAGCGUGGGGAGCAAACAGG